GAUGAAGAACGCAGCAAAAUGCGAUAAGUAGUGUGAAUUGCAGAAUUCCGUGAAUCAUCGAAUCUUUGAACGCACAUUGCGCCUCCUGGUAAUCCGUGAGGCAUGCCUGUCCGAGCGUCAGUAAAAAGCAACUCGGCCGCGGCUGGCGGUUGGUGAUGGAGGAAGAGCACGUCUCGUUGUCGGUCUCCCCUCCCAAAAUCAACGGCGGAAUGUCACUGGCACUCGGUGUUGUAGUAUUAUUCGCCGAUCACCCAUUGUUGUUCCUGCCGCCCAAACCCCCACAAUUCUCUUGAUUGACCUCGGAUCAGGUAGGGAUACCCGCUGAACUUAAGCAUAUCAAUAAGCGGAGGA
rnacentral:misc_RNA from 1 species